rnacentral:rRNA from 1 species
CGUAGGGUGCAAGCGUUAAUCGGAAUUACUGGGCGUAAAAGCGUGCGCGGGCGGUUUUGUAAGACAGUCGUGAAAUCCCCGGGCUCAACCUGGGAAUUGCGAUUGUGACUGCAAAGCUGGAGUGCGGCAGAGGGGGAUGGAAUUCCGCGUGUAGCAGUGAAAUGCGUAGAUAUGCGGAGGAACACCGAUGGCGAAGGCAAUCCCCUGGGCCUGCACUGACGCUCAUGCACGAAAGCGUGGGAGCAAACAGGAUU